rnacentral:rRNA from 1 species
UACGUAGGGUGCGAGCGUUAAUCGGAAUUACUGGGCGUAAAGCGUGCGCAGGCGGUUCGUUGUGUCGGCGGUGAAAGCCCCGGGCUCAACCUGGGAAUGGCCGUUGAAACUGGCGAACUGGAGUGUGGCAGAGGGGGGUGGAAUUCCGCGUGUAGCAGUGAAAUGCGUAGAGAUGCGGAGGAACACCGAUGGCGAAGGCAGCCCCCUGGGCUGACACUGACGCUCAGGUGCGAAAGCCAGGGGAGCGAACGGG